rnacentral:rRNA from 1 species
CAGCCGCCGCGGUAACACCAGCCCCUCGAGUGGUGGGGACUAUUAUUUGGCCUAAAGCGUCCGUAGCUGGCUGUAUCCGUCUCCCGGUAAAUCCGGCGUCCUAAGCGUCGGUUCUCGGGUGAUACCAUACAGCUAGAGGGUGGGAUAGGUGAGCGGUAUUUCUGGGGUAGGGGCGAAAUCCUUUGAUCCCAGGAGGACCACCAGUGGCGAAGGCUGCUCACUAGAACACGCCUGACGGUCAGGGACGAAAGCUGGGGCAGCGAACCGGAUUAGAUACCCGGGUAGUCCCAGCUGUAAACGAUGCUAGCUAGGUGUUGGGUCGGCCACGCGCCGCCCCAGUGCCGCAGGGAGGCCGUUAAGCUAGCCGCCUGGGGAGUACGGCCGCAAGGCUGAAACUUAAAGGAAUUGGCGGGGGAGCAC